UGAAUGGAUGAGUAUUGGAAGCUCACUCUUGCUCAAUCAUGCUCGAAAAUCCGACUGCCAUGGAAAUGGUUCAAUGCAACAGUGCUGGAAAAUGGUGCAACAGCUGCGAAAUGAGGUUUACAGAAGCUUCAACAAUGUUGGUGAAUGAUGAACCAGUAGACCAAGGCACCAGUUCUUUGAAGAUUUUUUAGAAAAAAUUCAGAUGAAGAAUUGAGAGUGUUUGAGAGAAAAGGUUUGAAUCUGAGUUUUGGGAAGUGUAGCUAGGGUUUUCAGACUGAAAAUGUGCACUAUAUACUCUGAUUAGCAAUGCUCAAGUGUGGUUA
rnacentral:lncRNA from 1 species